CGCCGGUGAGGAUGGUGAUGUGGCCGCCGACGGCGAGGCCGAAGGUGACGGCGGGGUUCAGGUGGCCGCCGGAGAUGUUGGCGGCCAUGGAGACACCGACGAAGAGCGCGAACGCAUGGGCGAUGGCGAUGGCCACCAGGCCGGCGGGGUCCAGAGCGCCACCCUUUGUCAGUUGCGCUGCACAAGGCGAAUUUGGGGGUUGGCAUCCCUGGUCAGUGCGUGCGGAAAGUGAAGCGAGGUAUGAGAGGACGGAGGUGCUUGUGACAGUAGAGAAGCUCACAGUAGGCAAUGGCGGACCCGACGCCGGCGAACACGAAGAGGAGCGUGGCAAUGAACUCGGCCGCAUAGGCCUUGAGGGACGCGGCGCUGAAAGAGUCGCCGAAGCUUCCAAAUGCAGGCUUCACCAUCUUUUCUCUGAC
rnacentral:misc_RNA from 1 species